GACGGGGGAUGCAAGCGUUAUCCGGAAUCACUGGGCGUAAAGCGUCUGCAGGUGGUUUCCUAAGUCCACUGUUAAACCUUGAGGCUCAACCUCAAAUCUGCAUUGGAAACUAGGAGACUUGAGUAUAGUAGGGGUAGAGGGAAUUUCCAGUGGAGCGGUGAAAUGCGUAGAUAUUGGAAAGAACACCGAUGGCGAAGGCACUCUACUGGGUUAUUACUGACACUCAGAGACGAAAGCUAGGGGAGCAAAUGGG
rnacentral:rRNA from 1 species